rnacentral:rRNA from 1 species
AGAAUCAACGCUGGCGGCGUGCCUAACACAUGCAAGUCGAACGAGAAAGGGGAGCAAUCCCUGAGUACAGUGGCGACCGGGUGAGUAACGCGUGACUAACCUACCCUCGAGUGUGGAAUAACAUCGGGAAACCGAUGCUAAUACCGCAUAAUAUCGCAAGAUCAAAGGAGUAAUCCGCUUGAGGAGGGGGUCGCGGCUGAUUAGCUAGUUGGCAGGGUAAUGGCCUACCAAGACGGUGAUCUGUA